GAUGAACGCUGGCGGCGUGCCUAAUACAUGCAAGUCGAGCGAACGGACGAGAAGCUUGCUUCUCUGAUGUUAGCGGCGGACGGGUGAGUAACACGUGGAUAACCUACCUAUAAGACUGGGAUAACUUCGGGAAACCGUAGCUAAUACCGGAUAAUAUUUUGAACCGCAUGGUUCAAAAGUGAAAGACGGUCUUGCUGUCACUUAUAGAUGGAUCCGCGCUGCAUUAGCUAGUUGGUAAGGUAACGGCUUACCAAGGCAACGAUGCAUAGCCGACCUGAGAGGGUGUUCGGCCACACUGGAACUGAGACACGGUCCAGACUCCUACGGGAGGCAGCAGUAGGGAAUCUUCCGCAAUGGGCGAAAGCCUGACGGAGCAACGCCGCGUGAGUGAUGAAGGUCUUCGGAUCGUAAAACUCUGUUAUUAGGGAAGAACAUAUGUGUAAGUAACUGUGCACAUCUUGACGGUACCUAAUCAGAAAGCCACGGCUAACUACGUG
rnacentral:rRNA from 1 species